UGAUCCAGCCAUGCCGCGUGAAGGAUGAAGGCCCUAUGGGUGCGUAAACUUCUUUUGACGCAGAGCAAUAAGGGACACGUGUGUUCCGAUGAGAGUAUGCGUCGAAUAAGUAUCGGCUAACUCCGUGCCAGCAGCCGCGGUAAUACGGAGGAUGCGAGCGUUAUCCGGAUUUAUUGGGUUUAAAGGGUGCGUAGGCUGUCGGUUAAGUCAGCGGUGAAAUCAGCACGCUUAACGUGUUGUUUGCCGUUGAAACUGUCCGUCUUGAAUGCGCUCGUCGUGGGAGGAAUGUGUGGUGUAGCGGUGAAAUGCAUAGAUAUCACACAGAACACCGAUUGCGAAGGCAUCUCACGAGAGCGUUAUUGACGCUGAUGCACGAAAGCGCGGGUAUCGAACAGGAUUAGAUACCCUGGUAGUCCGCGCUGUAAACGAUGAUGACUAACUGUU
rnacentral:rRNA from 1 species